rnacentral:rRNA from 1 species
UCCGUAGGUGAACCUGCGGUUGGAUCAUUAAUGAAUUAUGUUUCAACGUGUAGUUGAAGCUAAUUAGGGGUGAGAGUCUGAUAAGUCGCAAGACUUUGACGGAUCUCCCUCGCAUACCCAUGUGAAUUGUUUUAGUUACUUUGAAUUUUAUUCAUUGAUUGACUACCCAAACAUUAAAGUCAUUAGAAACUAGUCUUAAUAAGAACAACUUAAUGUUGAAACAACUUUUGACAACGGAUCUCUUGGCUCUCGCAACGAUGAAGAACGCAGCGAAAUGCGAUACGUAAUGUGAAUUGCAAAUUUCGUGAAUCAUCGAAUCUUUGAACGCAUAUUGCACUUCUUGGUAUCCCGAGAAGUAUGCCUGUUUGAGAAUCAGUUUCAACUUUCACCCUUUAGUGGGUGGAUUUGAGUAUUUGUCUUUGGGCAUUACUUUGAACUUAGUGUAUUGAACUAAAGGUUACUUGAUGCCUUUAAGCGUUAUUUAUUUGGGGACUCUGGUCUUCAAUUUUUCGCUUAAAGUGCAGACUUAAGUCAAUACUCACCGAAA